UACGUAGGGUGCAAGCGUUGUCCGGAAUUAUUGGGCGUAAAGAGCUCGUAGGCGGUUUGUCGCGUCUGCUGUGAAAACUCGGGGCUUAACUCCGGGCCUGCAGUGGGUACGGGCAGACUAGAGUGCGGUAGGGGAGACUGGAAUUCCUGGUGUAGCGGUGAAAUGCGCAGAUAUCAGGAGGAACACCGGUGGCGAAGGCGGGUCUCUGGGCCGUAACUGACGCUGAGGAGCGAAAGCGUAGGGAGCGAACAGG
rnacentral:rRNA from 1 species